UACGUAGGGUGCGAGCGUUAAUCGAAAUUACUGGGCGUAAAGUGUGCGCAGGCGGCCGCGCAAGUCGAGUGUGAAAGCCCCGAGCUUAACUUGGGAACUGCGCUCGAAACUACGUGGCUGGAGUGUGGCAGAGGGAGGUGGAAUUCCACGUGUAGCGGUGAAAUGCGUAGAGAUGUGGAGGAACACCGAUGGCGAAGGCAGCCUCCUGGGCCAACACUGACGCUCAUGCACGAAAGCGUGGGGAGCAAACAGG
rnacentral:rRNA from 1 species